GCAAAACGCGAAGAACCUUACCAGGGCUUAAAUGUAGAGUGACAGGACUGGAAACAGUUUUUCUUCGGACACUUUACAAGGUGCUGCAUGGUUGUCGUCAGCUCGUGCCGUGAGGUGUCAGGUUAAGUCCUAUAACGAGCGCAACCCCUGUUGUUAGUUGCCAGCGAGUCAUGUCGGGAACUCUAACAAGACUGCCGGUGCAAACCGCGAGGAAGGUGGGGAUGACGUCAAAUCAUCACGGCCCUUACGUCCUGGGCUACACACGUGCUACAAUGGCCGGUACAGAGAGCAGCCACCUCGCGAGGGGGAGCGAAUCUAUAAAGCCGGUCACAGUUCGGAUUGGAGUCUGCAACCCGACUCCAUGAAGCUGGAAUCGCUAGUAAUCGGAUAUCAGCCAUGAUCCGGUGAAUACGUUCCCGGGUCUUGUACACACCG
rnacentral:rRNA from 1 species